rnacentral:rRNA from 1 species
UACGGAGGGUGCAAGCGUUAUCCGGAUUCACUGGGUUUAAAGGGCGCGUAGGCGGCCAUUCAAGUCAGGGGUGAAAGCCUGUGGCUCAACCACAGAAUUGCCUUUGAUACUGUUUGGCUAGAGACCGGAAGAGGUAAGUGGAACUGCGAGUGUAGAGGUGAAAUUCGUAGAUAUUCGCAAGAACACCAGUGGCGAAGGCGGCUUACUGGUCCGGUUCUGACGCUGAGGCGCGAAAGCGUGGGGAGCAAACAGG